UCCGGUUGAUCCUGCCGGAGGCUACCGCUAUUGGAGUUCGAUUAAGCCAUGCGAGUCGCGAGUCUUAGGGACUCGGCGUACCGCUCAGUAACACGUGGGUAACCUGCCCUAUGCUGGGGGAUAACCUCGGGAAACUGAGAAUAAUACCCCAUAGUUCACCACGCCUGGAACGGUGGGUGGACCAAAGCUCCGGCGGCAUAGGAUGGGCCUGCGGCGUAUCAGGUUGUAGGGGGUGUAAUGUACCCUCUAGCCCUCUACGCGUACGGGUGUUGAGAGACAUCGCCCGGAGAUGGAUUCUGAGACACGAAUCCAGACCCUACGGGGUGCAGCAGGCGCGAAAACUUGGCAAUGCGAGAAAUCGUGACCAGGGAACUCCAAGUGCAUCGGGUAAGACCGAUGCUUUUCUUGACUCUUCAAAGGUCUUGGAAUAAGGGGUGGGUAAGGACGGUGCCAGCCGCCGCGGUAAUACCGGCGCCCCAAGUGGUAGUCGCUUUUAUUGGGCCUAAAACGUCCGUAGCCGGUCUGGUACAUUCGUGGGUAAAUCAACCAGCUCAACUGGUUGAAUUCUGCGAGCACGGCCAGACUUGGGACCGGGAGAGGUGUGGGGUACUCUCAGGGUAGGGGUAAAAUCCUGUCAUCCUGAGAGGACCACCUGUUGCGAAGGCGCCACACUAGAACGGAUCCGACGGUCAGGGACGAAGCCUAGGGGCACGAACCGGAUUAGAUACCCGGGUAGUCCUAGGUGUAAACGCUGUGGACUUGAUGUUGGGGGCGCUCCGAGCGCACUCAGUGUCGAAGCGAAGGUGAUAAGUCCACUGCCUGGGGAGUACGGUCGCAAGGCUGAAACUUAAAGGAAUUGGCGGGGGAGCACCGCAACCUGAGGAUUGUGCGGUUUAAUUGGAGUCAACGCCCGG
rnacentral:rRNA from 1 species